AGCGGCGGAUGGGUGAGUAACACGUGGGGAACCUGCCCCUAAGUCUGGGAUACCAUUUGGAAACAGGUGCUAAUACCGGAUAAUAAAGCAGAUCGCAUGAUCAGCUUUUGAAAGGCGGCGUAAGCUGUCGCUAAGGGAUGGCCCCGCGGUGCAUUAGCUAGUUGGUAAGGUAACGGCUUACCAAGGCGACGAUGCAUAGCCGAGUUGAGAGACUGAUCGGCCACAUUGGGACUGAGACACGGCCCAAACUCCUACGGGAGGCAGCAGUAGGGAAUCUUCCACAAUGGACGCAAGUCUGAUGGAGCAACGCCGCGUGAGUGAAGAAGGUUUUCGGAUCGUAAAGCUCUGUUGUUGGUGAAGAAGGACAGAGGUAGUAACUGGCCUUUAUUUGACGGUAAUCAACCAGAAAGUCACGGCUAACUACGUGCCAGCAGCCGCGGUAAUACGUAGGUGGCAAGCGUUGUCCGGAUUUAUUGGGCGUAAAGCGAGCGCAGGCGGAAAAAUAAGUCUAAUGUGAAAGCCCUCGGCUUAACCGAGGAACUGCAUCGGAAACUGUUUUUCUUGAGUGCAGAAGAGGAGAGUGGAACUCCAUGUGUAGCGGUGGAAUGCGUAGAUAUAUGGAAGAACACCAGUGGCGAAAGGCGGCUCUCUGGUCUGCAACUGACGCUGAGGCUCGAAAGCAUGGGUAGCGAACAGGAUUAGAUACCCUGGUAGUCCAUGCCGUAACGAUGAGUGCUAAGUGU
rnacentral:rRNA from 1 species